GCGGAGCCGGUGGCCGUCGCCAGUCUUGCCAUCACGGGAAUAACCAGGCUCGGAGGGCCGCCGGGGGACAGGCCCCGUCCUCGCCGCAGCCCCCAAUCUAGGUACAGACGAAAGACGCUCCUCGGGGACGAUCCUCGAGCUGGCAGCCAGGUGGAGGAGAAGCCAGCAGGUCGCCGGGUCGUGGCGGCGGCGAAGGAAGGAGGGAAGCACACGGAGGAGGAAGAGCGAGGCCUGAGCGGGGCCCGGGCCCGCGGGUGCUCCCUGUGUGCCCGCGCGCCUGGUCCCUGUGCUCACGUCACCUCCUGCAUCUCUGGCAGCAACGCCAAGGGACGGAGGGACGGCUGCCGCGACGACCCCGGCUGCCCAGGUGCGGAGCCCAGGGCGCCCCAGUGCUGGCCCGUGGCCGGCGGCCAGGAGGCAGGAGGCAGACGCGGGCAGGCGGCCCGUGACGCCCUCGGCCACCUGCAGGAGGGGAGACGGGGGCCUCCUGUCCUGGCGGGCGCGGCCCUCGAUCCGGCCUCCUCGGCCCCCCAAGGCGCCAAGGGAGUCGCGGCCCCUGGCAGGCGGCACACCCCGGCCGGCCGGACGGGCCUUGUGGGCUUCGGGGCGAGGGAGCCGGGCGCUGCAGGCGGUCGGGGUCGGCCGCAGCCCCACGGGGAGGAGCGGGCACCGGGCGAGGGGCCUUCCUGCCCCGGAGAGCCCGGGAGGUCCGGUCCUACCGCCCGGCACCCGCCGCGCCACACCGGACGAGCCGCCCCAGACCCGGCCUUCCCGGGGGCCCUCGAGGAUGGAGGCGGCCGCAGGAGUCCACACCGGGCGGAGGGGCGCCCUGGGGCCGGGGGUCCGGCGGGGCAGGCGGUUCCGGCAUCUCCCUCCGGCCGCCGGGACUCAGGGAGGUCCACGGCCACCCGGGGCGGGAAGGCUCCUGUGUCCGCCGGAGCCGGGACGCCCGAGGAGCCAGGACGGGCGAGUCACCGGCCCGCGGACGACACGGACAAGGCCCCCGCGGGAAGGCCGUGCAGCGGGGCCUGA
rnacentral:lncRNA from 12 species